rnacentral:lncRNA from 1 species
CUCAGUUUCCGCCUCUAAUAUCAAUGAAACACCUGCUAAUACUAAGGCGCUAAAACAUGGGGAAAGUACAAUCUAGUGGUGCACAGGACAUAGUUUAUAAACACAAUGAAUAUAUUAAUAAAAUGAAUGCUGAUUCUCUUAACUCAAUCUUCACUUGGCAUAUAAAAUUCUGCAUUUCUUUGCAAGGCAUAAGGUGUGUGAACCAUACAUAUUCAGCCAAUUAAACAUGCUCAUUUCUCUCUAACUAAACAACCUCCUGUUGGAAAGGAUUGCAGCUAAAUUGUAUCCCUGCAUCAACAUUUCAUGCAGGAUUGUUUCAUGGUUCACUGUUCUCUGGAAUGUUAUUAAUUGUUAAGCAAAACAAGACAGAAAAAGAAUGUGUGAUCAGGAAGUGUGAUUAAAUCCUUCAUCAAGCCUGUUGAAACUGGCUUUUCUUUACUUGCAGUAUUUCUCAGGGCCUUUAUUAUACCAGUUAGCACUGUGGACUUUCUAAAGCAGCUGGGGCCACAAAUAUCAACCACAGGUGUAAUUUGCAGCUUUACAUAAAUAACACUUAAAAAAUAUUAAAAACGAGUGAAAUAAAAUUUAAUAAGACUUACUGUAUAUGUAUAUUUUAAUGCUAGGAAUUGAAGCCAGGGUUUUGCAUGCCACUGGGCAACAUCCCCUGACCUUUAAUAAAAUAUAUAAACCUAAGAUGUUUAAAAUAUUUUCAUUUCAAUGUAUAAUCAAUAUAAAUUAUUCAUGAGCUAUUUUUAUUGCUGUAUGCAUAUGUAUGUACAUAUAUAUUAAGUUGUCAAAAUCCAGGGCAUGCAACAUAUCUCAAUUUGGACUAGCCACAUUCCAAGCAUAUUUCAUGUGACUGGGGACCAGCACAGGACAGCUCAAGGGAACCAGAGUGUUCAGUAUUUCUCUACAUCUUUGACUGCAGAACCGUU